rnacentral:rRNA from 1 species
AUUGAACGCUGGCGGCAGACCUAACACAUGCAAGUCGAGCGGUAGAGAGGUGCUUGCAUCUCUUGAGAGCGGCGGACGGGUGAGUAAUGCCUAGGAAUCUGCCUAGUGGUGGGGGAUAACGUUCGGAAACGGACGCUAAUACCGCAUACGUCCUACGGGAGAAAGCGGGGGAUCUUCGGACCUCGCGCCAUUAGAUGAGCCUAGGUCGGAUUAGCUAGUUGGUGAGGUAAUGGCUCACCAAGGCGACGAUCCGUAACUGGUCUGAGAGGAUGAUCAGUCACACUGGGACUGAGACACGGUCCAGACUCCUACGGGAGGCAGCAGUGGGGAAUAUUGGACAAUGGGCGAAAGCCUGAUCCAGCCAUGCCGCGUGUGUGAAGAAGGUCUUCGGAUUUGUAAAGCACUUUAAGUUGGGAGGAAGGGUAGUAACCUAAUACGUUGCUACUUUGACGUUACCGACAGAAUAAGCACCGGCUAACUUCGU